GUCUACAGCCAUGCCACCCUGGACAAGACCGAUCCCGUCUGAUCUCGGAAGCUAAGCAGGGUCGGGCCUGGUUAGAACUUGGAUGGGAGACUACCUAGGAAGACCAGGUGCUGUAGAAG
rnacentral:rRNA from 1 species